CAGCCAUCCUUUAAAGAAAGCGUAACAGCUCACUGGUCUAAUUAAGAGAUCCUGCACCGAAAAUGUAACGGGGCUCAAAUCAUUUACCGAAGCUUUGACAAUUACUUUGUAAUUGGGUAGCGGAGCGUUCUGUAAGCCUGUGAAGGUGAUGCGUAAGCAUUGCUGGAGGUAUCAGAAGUGCGAAUGCUGACAUGAGUAACGAUAAGAAAUGUGAAAGACAUUUCCGCCGAAAUCCUAAGGUUUCCUGCGUAAAGCUAAUCUGCGCAGGGUUAGUCGGCCCCUAAGGCGAGGGCGAAAGCCGUAGUCGAUGGGAAGCAGGUUAAUAUUCCUGCACCAGCUGGUAGUGACGGAUGAAGUAAAUUGUGAGUUCUUACUGGAUUGAACUUGCUGUGAAUUUGUCCCUGGAAAUAGCUCCAGCAUAAGACCGUACCAAAACCGACACAGGUAGGAGGGUAGAGAAUACCAAGGCGCUUGAGAGAACUAUGUUGAAGGAACUCGGCAAAUUACACUUGUAACUUCGGGAUAAAAGUGACCUGCUAUUGGGCAACCAGUAGGAGGUGGCACAGAAGAGGGGGUAGCGACUGUUUACUAAAAACAUAGCACUAUGCAAAGUCGAAAGACGACGUAUAUGGUGUGACGCCUGCCCGGUGCCGGAAGGUUAAUAGGAGGGGUGCAAGCCCUGAAUUGAAGCCCCGGUGAACGGCGGCCGUAACUAUAACGGUCCUAAGGUAGCGAAAUUCCUUGUCGGGUAAGUUCCGACCUGCACGAAUGGCGUAACGAUUUCCCCACUGUCUCCAACAUAGACUCAGUGAAAUUGAAUUCUCGGUUAAGAUGCCGAGUAACCGUGGUUAGACGGAAAGACCCCGUGCACCUUUACUGCAGCUUUGUAUUGGUAUUAGGGAACAGAUGUGUAGCAUAGGUGGGAGACUUUGAAGGAGUGGCGCUAGCCAUUCUGGAGUCACUAGUGAAAUACCACUCUUCUGUUCCUUGAUGCCUAACCAUACACCGUUAUCCGGUGUUGGGACCAUGCAUGGUGGGCAGUUUGACUGGGGCGGUCGCCUCCCAAAGAGUAACGGAGGCGCGCGAUGGUAGGCUCAGAACGCUUGGAAACCGUUCGUCGAGUGCAAUGGCAUAAGCCUGCCUGACUGCGAGACCCACAAGUCGAGCAGAGACGAAAGUCGGUCAUAGUGAUCCGGUGGCACUUCGUGGAAGGGCCAUCGCUCAACGGAUAAAAGGUACGCCGGGGAUAAC
rnacentral:rRNA from 1 species